GAUGAACGCUGGCGGCGUGCCUAAUACAUGCAAGUCGAGCGAACAGACGAGGAGCUUGCUCCUUUGACGUUAGCGGCGGACGGGUGAGUAACACGUAGGUAACCUACCUAUAAGACUGGGAUAACUUCGGGAAACCGGAGCUAAGCCCGGAUAAUAUUUCGAACCGCAUGGUUCGAUAGUGAAAGAUGGCUUUGCUAUCCCUUAUAGAUGGACCUGCGCCGUAUUAGCUAGUUGGUAAGGUAACGGCUUACCAAGGCAACGAUUCGUAGCCGACCUGAGAGGGUGAUCGGCCACACUGGAACUGAGACACGGUCCAGACUCCUACGGGAGGCAGCAGUAGGGAAUCUUCCGCAAUGGGCGAAAGCCUGACGGAGCAACGCCGCGUGAGUGAUGAAGGUCUUCGGAUCGUAAAACUCUGUUAUUAGGGAAGAACAAACGUGUAAGUAACUGUGCACGUCUUGACGGUACCUAAUCAGAAAGCCACGGCUAACUACGUG
rnacentral:rRNA from 1 species